GACGAACGCUGGCGGCGUGCUUAACACAUGCAAGUCGAACGGAAAGGCCCUGCUUUUGUGGGGUGCUCGAGUGGCGAACGGGUGAGUAACACGUGAGUAACCUGCCCUUGACUUUGGGAUAACUUCAGGAAACUGGGGCUAAUAUCGGAUAGGAGCUCCUGCUGCAUGGUGGGGGUUGGAAAGUUUCGGCGGUUGGGGAUGGACUCGCGGCUUAUCAGCUUGCUGGUGGGGUAGUGGCUUACCCAGGCUUUGACGGGUAGCCGGCCUGAGAGGGUGACCGGGCACAUUGGGACUGAGAUACGGCCCAGACUCCUACGGGAGGCAGCAGUGGGAAAUAUUGCACAAUGGGCGGAAGCCUGAUGCAGCAACGCCGCGUGCGGGAUGACGGCCUUCGGGUUGUAAACCGCUUUCGCCUGUGACGAAGCGUGAGUGACGGUAAUGGGUAAAGAAGCACCGGCUAACUACGUG
rnacentral:rRNA from 1 species